rnacentral:pre_miRNA from 1 species
CUGAGCCGCACCGCGCGGAGGGAUCCCCGGACACCGGAUCCGGUGUCCGGGGAUCCCUCCGCGCCGGUCGGCUAGC